rnacentral:rRNA from 1 species
CAAUAGCGUAUAUUAAAGUUGUUGCAGUUAAAAAGCUCGUAGUUGGAUUUCUGAUAUCUUUUUUCUUCUUUUCUUGUUUACUAAAUUGUAAAUGUAAAGUUUGAUUGGAUAUCUUCCUUCCCUGUUAAUUUGGUUUUUAAGCAUUAACUUGUUUAUGGAUCAAAUGGGGAUCUUUUACUGUGAAAAAAUUAGAGUGUUCAAAGCAAGUAUUUAUUUUCUUGAAUACAUUAGCAUGGAAUAAUAAGAUAGGACUUUGGUUAUAUUUUGUUGGUUUGCAAACUGAGGUAAUGAUUAAUAGGAACAUAUUGGGGAUAUCUGUAUUUUUUAGUCAGAGGUGAAAUUCUUGGAUUUAAGAAAGACAAACUACAGCGAAANCANNNAUCAAGGAUGUUUUCAUNGA